GGAUCCGUUUUGGGACUGCUGUGUGACAAGAGGCAGUGAUCCCACCUCCGGGCAAAACACACAUUCCUUGUCCUGCCCAGGAAGGACACAUUCGGCCCCUUGAUCCCUCAGGCCCCUCAGGUCCAUCUUCACAGUGGCUACAGGAUUGAAUCAAUUUCUGACCCUGUUCCUCAGUGUUUCCAUCUGUGAACUGGGAAGGCUGUAUUUGAACCAUUCCCCAGGGGCACUGCAAGUGCUAUGUGGGAUGGUCUUGCAAUGCUCUACCUGCCUUGACACCUGGCAGCGUAGGUACUCCUGACUGAACUCUGAUUUUCAAGGAGAACUUUUCCAGACUGGCCAGAGGAGUUCUGGCCUAACUAGGUUCCAGCUGAGGCUCUGGGAAUGGUCACAGAGUAGUGAAAAGAGCAUUGGCCUGGAUGUGUAGACAACUAGAUUCUGGACCCCAGUACAGCUAGGGGACUCCAGGCAAACCUGGAAAUAAGUCAUUUCAGAUUUGCAACCUCCUCUUUUGUGAAUACAGUGUGGGAUAAUUAUCCGCUUUUCCCCGUUGGAGCCCUGGCAGAUUGGCAAGAAAGGGAUGGUCAUGACUUUUUAAUGAUUGGCAUAGAGGAAUCCUGGGCAUCUUUGAGCUGGUUGCCUUUUCCAGAGAGGCCUUCUGGCAGAGCAAGGACCUGGCGGAUACCAGCUUCAGGCACCCGCCUCACGCAGUCAUGUCUGUGAUCUCAUAGUCCUCUUACCCAUCCUCAUGCCAAAUAAAUGAAGAGAACUUCAUUGUUCAAACAUGACUUCUUUACCUUCCUGUACUCCUGGGCAUCCUGGGUCAUCAUGGGCAGCAGGCUGGUGGAUGAGGAGGACAUCUUAGGGAACCUGAAGGUAAGGUGAUUUCCAUCUUCAGGGCUGCUGUCUGAUAUGUUUAGACUGCUCAGAUCUGGGGGUAGUGUGAUCAGCCUGGAGCCUUUGCUGUCCAUGCCCAUGCACAGGCCUGUGGGGAGAUGCAGGCAGCUGGUCUAGUCUGGACCUUCCUGCAGACUCUGCUGACCUCCUGAGGCUCCUGUCUUCAGCCUUGGGUGGCCUGGGCCAUUCUGCCUCCAUAGUCUGCUAUACCAUGCCAGGGAACAGGGCAGGCUGGGCUUCAGGACCUGCUAAUUCUUGUCUUUAGUGUGCCAGUGAAUACCAGAGUCAGGUUUUCAAUCUGUGUGUCUACAUUGUUAAUAAAAUUCAUUUCUAAUGAAA